rnacentral:rRNA from 1 species
CCCUUAGAUGUUCUGGGCGGCCCGCGCACUACAAUGGCGCUUUCAGCGAGUUCCUAUGUUGAAUUUUCCUUGGUAUUCUUGGAAGCGGCGUCUUGACUUGGGAUAGAUCCUUGUAAUUGUUGGUUUUGAACGAGGAAUUCCUUGUAAUCGCGGUUGAUCAGCUCGCGUUGAAUACGUCCCUGCCCUUUGUACACACCGCCCGUCGCUCCUACCGAUGAACCGUCCGGUGAAGUUCACAGAGUGGCGGUUCGUGGAGUUGCUCGCGAAGUGAAAUGGACCUCACGAUUUAGAGGAAGGAGAAGUCGUAACA